rnacentral:rRNA from 1 species
UACGGGGGGGGCAAGCGUUGUUCGGAAUUACUGGGCGGAAAGGGCUCGUAGGCGGCCAACUAAGUCAGACGUGAAAUCCCUCGGCUUAACCGGGGAACUGCGUCUGAUACUGGAUGGCUUGAGUUCGGGAGAGGGAUGCGGAAUUCCAGGUGUAGCGGUGAAAUGCGUAGAUAUCUGGAGGAACACCGGUGGCGAAGGCGGCAUCCUGGACCGAUACUGACGCUGAGACGCGAAAGCGUGGGGAGCAAACAGG